UUAAUUAAUUAAUUUUCAGGGAAGACACCACAGAAGGAAAGUUCUCAUGAAGAAGGGAAAGACAUGGAAAUAGAGGAGGAACCUCGCGAUGAGAAAGGUGCGGACAAAUUUAAGGAUGGAACGAAAGAUAUCGACGUGUGUUCUGAAGACGGACCUGAAGAGACAUCGGAAGAAAUAAUUUUGCAUAUUGAAGACCAACACCAACAUAAAGGGAAAGAUACAGCAUCUUCAAAGGAUAUACAUGGCGAUAAGAAAGGUAUGACAAUAACAG